rnacentral:rRNA from 1 species
CGGGGGGAGCAAGCGUUGUUCGGAUUUACUGGGCGUAAAGGGCGCGUAGGCGGUAGCACAAGUCAGUUGUGAAAUCUCCGGGCUUAACUCGGAAGGUUAACUGAUACUGUGCGACUAGAGUGCAGAAGGGGCAACUGGAAUUCUCGGUGUAGCGGUGAAAUGCGUAGAUAUCGAGAGGAACACCUGCGGCGAAGGCGGGUUGCUGGGCCGACACUGACGCUGAUGCGCGAAAGCCAGGGGAGCGAACGGG